rnacentral:rRNA from 1 species
UGGGGAAUAUUGCACAAUGGGCGAAAGCCUGAUGCAGCAACGCCGCGUGAAGGACGAAGUAUUUCGGUAUGUAAACUUCUAUCAGCAGGGAAGAUAAUGACGGUACCUGACUAAGAAGCCCCGGCUAACUACGUGCCAGCAGCCGCGGUAAUACGUAGGGGGCAAGCGUUAUCCGGAUUUACUGGGUGUAAAGGGAGCGUAGGCGGCUUUGCAAGUCAGAAGUGAAAGCCCGGGGCUCAACUCCGGGACUGCUUUUGAAACUGCAGGGCUAGAUUUCAGGAGAGGUAAGCGGAAUUCCUAGUGUAGCGGUGAAAUGCGUAGAUAUUAGGAGGAACACCAGUGGCGAAGGCGGCUUACUGGACUGAUAAUGACGCUGAGGCUCGAAAGCGUGGGGAGCAAACAGG